rnacentral:rRNA from 1 species
UGUUUUGUGUAGGAUAGGUGGGAGGCUUUGAAGUUUGCACGCCAGUGUAGAUGGAGCCAUCCUUGAAAUACCACCCUGAAUAUGUUUUAGCUCUAACCUAGAAUUUCUGUGAAUCCAGACUAGGAACAGUGUCAGUUGGGCAGUUUGACUGGGGCGGUCUCCUCCCAAAGCGUAACGGAGGAGCACAAAGGUGGGCUAAGCAUGGUCGGACAUCAUGCGGUUAGUGUAAUGGCACAAGCCCGCUUAACUGCGAGACAGACACGUCGAGCAGGUACGA